rnacentral:rRNA from 1 species
CCUACGGGAGGCAGCAGUGAGGAAUAUUGGUCAAUGGCCGAGAGGCUGAACCAGCCAAGUCGCGUGAGGGAAGAAUGUCCUAUGGAUUGUAAACCUCUUUUGUCAGGGAGCAGAGUCACCCACGUGUGGGUGGUGGAGAGUACCUGAAGAAAAAGCAUCGGCUAACUCCGUGCCAGCAGCCGCGGUAAUACGGAGGAUGCGAGCGUUAUCCGGAUUUAUUGGGUUUAAAGGGUGCGUAGGCGGGUUAUCAAGUCAGCGGUAAAAGCGUGGAGCUCAACUCCAUCCAGCCGUUGAAACUGAUGAUCUUGAGUGGGCGAGAAGUAUGCGGAAUGCGUGGUGUAGCGGUGAAAUGCAUAGAUAUCACGCAGAACUCCGAUUGCGAAGGCAGCAUACCGGCGCCCGACUGACGCUGAAGCACGAAAGCGUGGGUAUCGAACAGGAUUAGAUACCUCUGUAGUC